rnacentral:rRNA from 1 species
GACGAACGCUGGCGGCGUGGAUUAGGCAUGCAAGGUCGAACGGUAGGAUACCUUCGGGUAUCUGAGAGUGGCGAACGGGUGAGUAACACGUAGGUGAUCUACCCUCAAGAUUGGGACAACCCAGGGAAACUUGGGCUAAUACCGGAUGAAAGCAGCAGUGAUGUUGUUUGAAAGGUGGCGUAAGCUGCCGUUUGGGGAUGAGCCUGCGCUCUAUUAGUUAGUUGGCGGGGUAAAGGCCCACCAAGGCGAUGAUAGAUAGGCGGCCUUAACGGGUGGUCGCCCACACUGGGAUUGAGAUACGGCCCAGACUCCUACGGGAGGCAGCAGUCGAGAAUAGUCUACAAUGGCCGAAAGGCUGAUAGUGCGACGCCGCGUGAACGAAGAAGCCCUUCGGGGUGUAAAGUUCUUUUAUAUGUGAGCAGUGCUUUCUAUGUGAACAGCAUGGGGAGAGAGAUAUUAGCAUAUGAAUAAGCAACGGCUAACUCCGUG